rnacentral:rRNA from 1 species
UACGAAGGGGGCUAGCGUUGCUCGGAAUCACUGGGCGUAAAGGGCGCGUAGGCGGACUUUUAAGUCGGGGGUGAAAGCCCAGGGCUCAACCCUGGAAUUGCCUUCGAUACUGAGAGUCUUGAGUUCGGAAGAGGUUGGUGGAACUGCGAGUGUAGAGGUGAAAUUCGUAGAUAUUCGGAAGAACACCAGUGGCGAAGGCGACAUACUGGUCCGUUACUGACGCUGAGGCUCGAAAGCGUGGGGAGCAAACAGG